GUCCACGCCGUAACUAUGGAUGCUAGCUGUUAGCCGUAUCGACCCGGCUAGUAGCGAAGCUAACGCGUUAAGCAUCCCGCCUGUGGAGUACGAGCGCAAGCUUAAACAUAAAGGAAUUGACGGGACCCGCACAAGCGGUGGAGCGUGUUGUUAAUUCGAUGGUAAGCGAAGAACCUUACCCAGGCUUGACAUCCCGAUAAGGUUUCCGAAAGGAAAUUGUACCGAAAGGAUUCGGUGACAGGUGAUGCAUGGCCGUCGU
rnacentral:rRNA from 1 species